UGGGCCACCCCUGGAGAUGCCACAGUCCCACUUAGUCACCCAAGGACAUCUGUGCCGCAGGUGCUCCCCUGAGACACAGAAUUCAGUCCCCAAGGAAUACCCUGCCACAGCACACAGGAUUUUGACGCUAUUUGUUUAUGUCUCCGAAGAGCUCAUUCUCUUCCAGGUGACAGUCCUAUGUGGGAGGAGAUGGAUGGCCCUUGACCUUGGACAGCCUUCUGGGCUGAGCCCUCUGGCCUCGGCCACGGAUUACCUGGGCCUGUUACUCAACUCCUUCUCCGGUCUCUGCCAUUUUGCGCUCCCGCCAGCAGAAGCUGCAGGGCCUAGAUGUGCACGAUGUCGCUUGCACGGCACUCUGCUGCCAGCCAGAGUCACAGGUCCAGCCAGAUUCCAGGCGUGUGGAGUAGACCAGCCCCCGGGGAUGAGGAGCUACCAAACGGCAGGGAUUCAGAGAAAGGAACAGUUGUGGCUAGUGUUGCAAACAAUCUACCGCCCAGGGAUUGCUGUGUUUAAUCCUCACAGCAACCCCACUGGUCAGAGGGGGAAACUGAGGCACAGAGAGGUGAAGUUCCUUGUCCCUGGCCAGGAACUGCAGAGCUGGGACAUACACCCAGAGUCUCGGCUCUCACUGGCUGUUCUCCAGGUCCUGACGGUGUGCUGGGGACAGGAGGCACGUGCUCCUGUUCCUGCCCCAGCCCUCACCUCCCAGUUCCUGCAGUCUUCCAUAGGCACCUGGAAAAUGAUGGGAGGCAGGAGUGGAUCUGCUUCUGCCCACCUCUGGCUGCCCCAGGGAUGCGGCUGUCUGAUCCCUCCUUUUCCCUCUCAUCCUCUGCAGAGGAGGCCUGUGGCCUUCAUCCGAGCCUUCUCACCCCAUUCUAAGGCGUGGGGUUACAGACGGGCUGUUCCCUCGCUGGCCUUCAUCAGAACCCCAUCAGUGUGUACAUUAGGCUUGUAAAUAACUCAGGCUGGGGAUUAUCCAGGGAGGAAGCAAACGCCCAGUGCUUAUAGCCAGGGCAGGCUGCAACAAGGACCAGGGUGAGUCAUGCUGUAGAUGGAGACGCAGGGAGGCAGGAAUUCAUGGAAAUACAUCAGCUCUCCCAGGGUCUUGGUGGGCUCGGGACCGUGCUACUCUGCAGAAGCUGGUGCCGUGGCCCUGAGGAUGCUCAGAGUGGCUGUGGGAGGGCUAACCCAGCAGUUCCCCAAGAGCUCUCCUCCCUUGCCUGCCUCCACCCAACAGGACGGAAAGGUAAACACGCAACAGGCCACCUCCCUUUGGGCCAUAGGUAACUCGAUUGCAUCUCUGCAGCAGCCGCCUUGUGACCUCAAGAAAAGAGCCAAGAAGUG
rnacentral:lncRNA from 1 species